rnacentral:rRNA from 1 species
CAAGGCUUGACAUAUAGAGGAAAAGUGCAGAAAUGCACUCCCCGCAAGGUCUCUAUACAGGUGGUGCAUGGUUGUCGUCAGCUCGUGUCGUGAGAUGUUGGGUUAAGUCCCGCAACGAGCGCAACCCUCGUCCUAUGUUGCCAGCACGUUAUGGUGGGAACUCAUGGGAUACUGCCGGGGUCAACUCGGAGGAAGGUGGGGAUGACGUCAAGUCCUCAUGGCCCUUACGUGUUGGGCUACACACGUGCUACAAUGGAGCGUACAAAGGGUUGCAACCCCGCGAGGGUGAGCUAAUCCCAUAAAACGUUUCGUAGUCCGGAUCGCAGUCUGCAACUCGACUGCGUGAAGUCGGAAUCGCUAGAAAUGGUAGAUCAGAAUGCUACGGUGAAUACGUUCCC